GGCGCACGGGUGCGUAACGCGUAUGCAACCUACCCAUAAGAGGGGAAUAACCCGGCGAAAGUCGGCCUAAUACCCCAUAAAGCAGGGGUCCCGCAUGGGAAUAUUUGCUAAAGGAGCAAUCCGCUUAUGGAUGGGCAUGCGUUCCAUUAGGUAGUUGGUUCGGGGUAACGGCCCACCAAGCCUACGAUGGAUAGGGGUUCUGAGAGGAAGGUCCCCCACACUGGUACUGAGACACGGACCAG
rnacentral:rRNA from 1 species